rnacentral:rRNA from 25 species
UCCCUGCCCUUUGUACACACCGCCCGUCGCUACUAUCGAUUGAGCGGUUCAGUGAGGGCCUCGGAUUGGUCUCGGUCUGGCGUGCAAGCGCCGGCACCGUUGGCCGAGAAGACGCUCGAACUCGAUCGCUUGGAGAAAGUAAAAGUCGUAACAAGGUUUCCGUAGGUGAACCUGCGGAAGGAUCAUUA